rnacentral:rRNA from 1 species
AGGGUUCGAUUCCGGAGAGGGAGCCUGAGAAACGGCUACCACAUCUACGGAAGGCAGCAGGCACGAAAAUUGCCCAAUCCUGAUACAGGGAGGCAGUGACAAGAAAUAACAACUCUCAACUAUGUUGAGAAGUGUAAUGAGGAUAAUUUACAAACCUUACCGAAAGCAAUUGGAGGGCAAGUCUGGUGCCAGCAGCCGCGGUAAUUCCAGCUCCAAUAGCGUAUAUUAAAGUUGUUGCAGUUAAAAAGCUCGUAGUUGAAAUUCUGAUCGUAUGGGCCUCUGCACUUUGAUGCGAAGGUACCAGCGGACAUCCGCUUGCAAAUACAUGUCCUUCCUUCAUCGGUUGGCUGUAUGAGCAAGCAAUUUACCUUGAGAAAAACAGAGUGUUCCAGGCAGGCUUGUCCGGAAUGCAUUAGCAUGGAAUAAUAGAAUAUGACUGAAGUCGAUUUAUUGGUUUGAGGCUUUAGUAAUGAUUAAUAGGAACAGUCGGGGGCAUUAGUACUUGUCAGUCAGAGGUGAAAUUCGAGGAUUUGACAAAGACUAACUGAUGCGAAAGCAUUUGCCAAA